AUGGCGUUUUUGCAAAAUAGCCCUUGUGAUUUAGGGUAUUCAACCCGUCGUCCGUAUAUAAGUCAACCGAACCGGUAUAUGGACGAGGUAAAAAAAUCACCCUACCUCCCGAUCCCAUCUCAACCUCCAGCUUCCAGCGCGUCGCCACCCUCCCCCCGUCGCAUGCGUCGCCACCGACGCCGCGGCCGUUGGCAGCUCCCCCGCUCAUGCUACUAUGGUGCCGCAAAGACAAACCAGAAUGCCUACGACCCCGACUCCCUCCCGCGCCGUCGCCGCCCUUUGCGGCACCACCCCGGCAGCCCCUACCACCGACGACCACCACAGGUGCGCCUUCCUCUCUCAAGACUCCAGCUCCCCAGCGCCUCCCCUCCUUUCCCCCGAGUCCAUGACCACCAGUUUGGUCGAAUUCCCCGUCGCCGCAGGUCAUGGUCGACCGCGCCGCCGCCCAUGGUCGAUCCAAACGCCGCGGUGGAUAACGGGCUGCUUGGACUGCUUGCUAGAGAGAGGAUUCAGAGAUUAGGCCAUGCAUAUCUUUGGCACGCUCUCAUGUCCACAGGUAAACCAAACAAAUCAAUUAGAGAAGUGGUAAUUUGGGUGGAGUCUAAGCAGAAGCAGAAGAUUUUUGAGAUAAUGAAGAGUAAGCAGUACUUCAAACCUCCUGCUGUUGUAUUUGUGAGUUCUAGAGUUGGUGAUCUCUUGUCUGAAGCAAUUACUGCUGCUACUGGGUUGGACCUGGAUUCGAUUGGAGAAUCCUCCAGUAGGAGCAGCGUCUGCCCACAACUGUUGUGGAUCGGGAAUGCAAGCCGGGUCGCCUCCACGUGGGCUAUUGUUGCAAGGUCACGGUGCUGCACCUCAGCUAAUUCAGUAGGGAGAAUGGCCACAUGGAUGAUUAGCAUCUCUUCGCAAAUGCAUGUUAAUUCAGUGAAAAAAAUGAUUGUUCAGCCACUGUCAGACUUUUGUGGUGUGCCCUGGCUGACAAACUGUGCUUUGCCAGCCUACUGGAGGGAAGGCAAGGUUCACCAAGGGAUGAUCCUUUCACCGGAAGGGAUUGUCCGACUUUGUCUGGCUUUGGCAUUUCAUCGAACACAACACGGACGGCCGCCACCGGCGUCGACGACGAGCAUAGGCACAACAACUUCUCCACCAAUCGGGCUGGAGAGAGCUUCUGGUGGGCGCCGCGUGCGCAAGGAGGACCGGUGCCACCUCACUCCGCCGUGGAGGUGCAUGAAGAGAGCAACAAGAGGGUGCCGCGCACACCCUGCCAGCGCGCCCGCCGCGCCCACCCCGCCCAAAGCACACACCGGUGCGCCGUGGCUAGGUGAGCACGACCUCGGUGUCCCCGAGCCCCUCUCUCCCUCCUACGCGCCACAUCUCCCCCGUCGUCAUAGGGGAUGCCGGGCGAUGGCCACCUCACUCUGUCGCCAGCCCGACAUCCUCAGCCUGGCGCUGGUGGGAGUAGCGCACGGCAUGGACACGACUGUGCGAACAGGAGGAAGGUUUGGUACAAGGAAGAGACGGAGCGAUAGGUUCAGUGGCGGCUCCGCCACGUGGAGCAGAUACCACGAGUCAUUGAUGUUGUUGCUGCGGGCUCCAGCGUGA
rnacentral:rRNA from 1 species